GAUGAACGCUGGCGGCGUGCUUAACACAUGCAAGUCGAACGGGAAACAUUUUAUUGAAGCUUCGGCAGAUUUAGUUUGUUUCUAGUGGCGGACGGGUGAGUAACGCGUGGGUAACCUGCCUCACACUGGGGGAUAACAGUCAGAAAUGACUGCUAAUACCGCAUAAGCGCACAGGACCGCAUGGUCUGGUGUGAAAAACUCCGGUGGUAUAAGAUGGACCCGCGUCUGAUUAGCUGGUUGGUGGGGUAACGGCUCACCAAGGCGACGAUCAGUAGCCGGCCUGAGAGGGUGAACGGCCACAUUGGGACUGAGACACGGCCCAG
rnacentral:rRNA from 1 species